CCUACGGGUGGCUGCAGUAGGGAAUAUUGCUCAAUGGGGGAAACCCUGAAGCAGCAACGCCGCGUGGAGGAUGAAGGUUUUCGGAUUGUAAACUUCUUUUGUUAGAGAAGAUAAUGACGGUAUCUAACGAAUAAGCCCCGGCUAACUCCGUGCCAGCAGCCGCGGUAAUACGGAGGGUGCAAGCGUUACCCGGAAUAACUGGGCGUAACGAGGGCGUAGGCGGGAUGGCAAGUCAGAUGUGAAAUCCUAUGGCUUAACCAUAGAACUGCAUUUGAAACUGUUAUUCUAGAGUAAGGGGGGGGUAGGUGGAAUUCUAGGUGUGGGGGUAAAUUCGG
rnacentral:rRNA from 1 species